rnacentral:rRNA from 1 species
UACGUAGGGGGCUAGCGUUGUCCGGAAUCAUUGGGCGUAAAGCGCGUGUAGGCGGUCCGGUAAGUCCGCUGUGAAAGUCGGGGGCUCAACCCUCGAACGCCGGUGGAUACUGUCGAGCUUGAGUACGGAAGAGGCGAGUGGAAUUCCUGGUGUAGCGGUGAAAUGCGCAGAUAUCAGGAGGAACACCAAUUGCGAAGGCAGCUCGCUGGGACGUUACUGACGCUGAGACGCGAAAGCGUGGGGAGCAAACAGG